rnacentral:sRNA from 1 species
UGUUUCUGCUUCUCGUUCUCUCUCUCUCUCUCUCUCUCUCUCUCCCA